rnacentral:snoRNA from 1 species
GGUCUGUGAUGAAUAGUAAAAGGUCUGAUUAUCCUGAGACUUGCACUUCCAUGACCUUUUCUCCCAGCAGUUUCUCACCAGUCACAGCACAGUAAUGAUGUGGCUGGCAGAGUGUUUGCUGACAGCUUGGGGCGUGUUCAGUUCAUGUUAACCUGAAGUAUCGGAGACAUGACUGGGAUCAGCGUCCGACAGUCUGACUUGAAGGAGUUUGGGGUCUGGAUUGUUGUAGCUGGAUGUGUGAUCUGACUUUUCUGCUGAGACC